GUAAUGUAUAAAGAUGCCUCACGCAUGUGCUGCAUGGGAUUGUAUAAACCGCUGUACGCUCCAAACCAGAUCAAGGGGGAUUACAUUUCACAGGGCGCAGACUCGGCCUUCCACGCCCCUGGCCUUCCAAACCUCCUGCCUUCCACAGUCUGUCUCACAAACGCCCAUAGUCCAUAGAAAGAGAAGGAGAACGGCUCCUGUACAGUUUUUCCAGUUCAAUAAAGAAAAGGAGCUGAAAAUGUUUUCCAACAUGGAACAAUGGCACAACAGAAGCAGUCACAUUUCUCCAUAAAGGCAGAGAAUAUAAAACCAACUUUGAUUACAUUGAUUAAAUAUCAAAAUGAGUCCAAGUGCCCUGUUUGUAAAAAGCAAAGAGACUACAGCAUCCUGCUCCCUGCCUUCAGAGUCAUGAAGGCCACAUUGUCAAGUAUGCAGGCCGUGAUCUUCAGCUCUCUCUGGAACAGUUCGCAGCUG